rnacentral:rRNA from 1 species
GACGAACGCUGGCGGCGUGCUUAACACAUGCAAGUCGAACGGUGAAGCGCCUUCCUUUUUGGUGGGUGUGGAUGAGUGGCGAACGGGUGAGUAACACGUGAGUAACCUGCCCCCUUCUUCUGGAUAACCGCAUGAAAGUGUGGCUAAUACGGGAUAUUCUGGGUCUGUCGCAUGAUGGGUCUGGGAAAGAUAUUGUUUCGGUGGGGGAUGGGCUCGCGGCCUAUCAGCUUGUUGGUGGGGUGAUGGCCUACCAAGGCGGUGGCGGGUAGCCGGCCUGAGAGGGUGGACGGUCACACUGGGACUGAGACACGGCCCAGACUCCUACGGGAGGCAGCAGUGGGGAAUAUUGCACAAUGGGCGCAAGCCUGAUGCAGCGACGCCGCGUGAGGGAUGGAGGCCUUCGGGUUGUGAACCUCUUUCGCCAGUGAAGCAGGCCUGCCUCGUUUGUGGGUGGGUUGACAGUAGCUGGAGAAGAAGCGCCGGCUAACUACGUG